CCUACGGGAGGCUGCAGUGAGGAAUAUUGGUCAAUGGACGAGAGUCUGAACCAGCCAAGUAGCGUGAAGGAUGACUGCCCUAUGGGUUGUAAACUUCUUUUAUAAAGGAAUAAAAUGAGCCACGUGUGCCUUUUUGCAUGUACUUUAUGAAUAAGGAUCGGCUAACUCCGUUCCAGCAGCCGCGGUAAUACGGAGGAUCCGAGCGUUAUCCGGAUUUAUUGGGUUUAAAGGGAGCGUAGAUGGGUUGUUAAGUCAGUUGUGAAAGUUUGCGGCUCAACCGUAAAAUUGCAAUUGAUACUGGCAGUCUUGAGUACAGUUGAGGUAGGCGGAAUUCGUGGUGUAGCGGUGAAAUGCUUAGAUAUCACGAAGAACCCCGAUUGCGAAGGCAGCUCACUGAACUGUGACUGACACUGAGGCUCGAAAGUGUGGGUAUCAAACAGGAUUAGAUACCCGUGUAGUC
rnacentral:rRNA from 1 species